AGGGUUUGAUCAUGGCUCAGAACGUACGCUGGCGGCACGCCUAACACAUGCAAGUCGAACGAAGUAGCAAUACUUAGUGGCAGACGGGUGAGUAACAUGUGGGUAUCUACCCUUUGGCCUGGAAUAACACGAGGAAACUUGUGCUAAUACCGGAUAAGUCUUUACGGAGAAAGCUUUAUGCACCAUUGGAUGAGCCCGCACUAGAUUAGUUUGUUGGUGGGGUAAUGGCCUACCAAGACUGUGAUCUAUAGCUGAUUUGAGAGGAUGAUCAGCCACAUUGGGACUGAGACACGGCCCAAACUCCUACGGGAGGCAGCAGUGGGGAAUCUUGCACAAUGGAGGAAACUCUGAUGCAGCGAUGCCGCGUGAGUGAAGAAGGCCUUUGGGUUGUAAAGCUCUUUCGUCGGGGAAGAAAAUGACUGUACCCGAAUAAGAAGGUCCGGCUAACUUCGUGCCAGCAGCCGCGGUAAUACGAAGGGACCUA
rnacentral:rRNA from 1 species